GCGGUCACCACUUCUUUCAGGUCACUCUCGGGUUUCCCGGCCACCAUAAAGGGCCACGUCUGCGGGAAAGAAGAGGGUGGAGGAGGAUAUACUAAAAGAAGACAGAUCAGUCUCUCUCCUGAUAAGAAGAGUCACCAAGGGGAACAUCUGCAACAACUAGACAGAUGCUGCUACAAAGAGACCAAUCAACAACUGCUCAGCAGAGAUACAGAUCUGAAGCACAGAAGUGCAAUAGACCUUCCUGAUGCCUUCGCCAGGAGCAUGGAAUUCUUCCCAGAGUCACAGAAGACGGCACAGCCUGGGGACAAGUGGGAAUCACCUGGAGGAUGGCAGAUGGGACCAUCUAGUUGCAGGAAAACAAGCUCAUGGACCUCACUGAUUCUGUUAUGACAGAGGCAAAGCACAGCUUCAAGCAACAUGGCCAUGCUGGGGAACAUCUGGGAAAGAACAACAGAGACAACGGUCUGGCUUGCAGCGGUCAGGAAAUGAAGUGGUUCAUUCCUAGCAACGGACCAUUUUGUAUUUUGGAGGCAGAGAUAUAAACAAUGACAAGCUCUGUUAAAAGCAGCUGUAGUCACAAAUCUCCCAACAAGCUUCAUAUGUGCAAACUACAGGAAGGACUCCUGGUACCAUAUUGGGCUUCUCAGUCACACACAGAGAGUGGAGCAAUCACUGUCAGUAGUGUCAUCUUUGAAUACAAUGCAGAACAAAGUGUUCAUGUUCCACUUGCCAUGUGCGUGAAGGUGGAAGAGAAAUGGGGUAGGGUCACUGACACCAGUUGGUCAUUUUUUUAGGCUGUUUUAUUAACUCUCUGCAAAAUCUGAACAAAAAUUUUAUCCUUAAACACAACUUUUUAAAUUUUAAGUAGAAAACAGCCUUCAAAUUAAAUCUACACCCAUUUUAUAGAUAAUCUCUACCUUUGGGUUUUAUUUUUUCUGAGUGUUCACUGAUUGGUUGUCAGGUUGUUUUGGUUAUCGCCUUCUCAUCUGAACAUUUUAUUGUGAAAGUGCAACAUGUGAAAUCUAGCAUGAUGUAUUAGACCUAUAAGUAAUCAGGGAAGAAUUUAGUUAAGCUGAUGGAUUCUUUGGAAAUAUGCAUAAAUAUUUAUAAAUUAUAGAGUUAAAUCCAGCUUUUUUUUUUUGCUAAAUGAAAUAUAUCCCUUUUUUUGUAAAUGAGAAACAUCAAACUCUGGAAGGCAGUAAGAAAGCAAAGAAUAGAACACUGGGAAAAUUGAUUCGUAAUCCCAGUUACAAGAUAAUUGCAUGUAAUUUUCAUAACUGCCUCUAACAGCUUUUUAGAUUUACAUGUGUAAAAUGUGUAUGUGUGUGUUUUUUACAGUUGUAAGUAAUUUUGGUAGGAAUUUUGAUGAUUAGCUCUGCAUCUGGACAAGGAGAUUUAAAGUCAAUUCUUUCUUCAAUGUUAAAGACACUAUUCAUUGUAUUUCUGGCUUUUUGCAUUUGCAAUUCAUGGCUCAUAAUACAAAAUUUUCAAACAGUUGAAUUCAUAACCUAUUUUCUUUCUCAUCCUAGAGUUUGCCUCAAUACAAAGAAAUGAAAUCAGAGACUAUAAGUUGGCAGUAUAAGCAGUGACUAACCAGUAGAAGUGAUCACCUUUAGACUAGUCCACAGACCAGAACGCUCAUUAUUCAGUGCUUGUGUGGUUUGGUUAAACAGCAAAUUCUACUUGGAGGAGAUACUUUUAAUUUAGAAGAGAUUAUUUCAAAUAAUUAUCUUUGUUUAUUAUAUAAGCUUUAGCUAGUGUUUUACAUUCACUGACCAAGCAUCAGAACACUAGAGAAAAUGACACAAAAGGUGAGUCAGUUAAGUUUGGAGAAUGUUGGAAGAAGAAACAUUAUUUCAAGAGUAUGGAGGAUGACCUAAAGAAAUAAUAAAAAAUGAUUUUCUGGAAUUAUUUCUAGAAGUUAAAGGUGAAGCAUCAUUGAUAAUGGCGUUUUUCAUUUUAUCAGUGGAAAUACAGUAAUUAUUUGGGGGGAUUCAUCUCUACUCCUGAGUGUCGGUUAGCUGGGGGUACACAUGGAGCAUUAAAUGUUGUCCUACAUAGUCAUCACAAGCCACAGUACCUGUGCUGUCACACAGAGGGGUCUGUAAAGGGGUGACAACACAGAGGUUUCCCUUGAUGAAUGAUGAAGAAUCCUUUCUCAAGAUAGGUACAAAUUAGUUGGACCCAAUUGAUUGAAUCAGUUGGUUUUAUAAAAUUGGGCGGACACUAGUUAUCAUUCUUUUUUCAAAAGCAAUUGGCUGGGCGCGGUGGCUCAUGCCUAUAAUCCCAGCACUUUGUGAGGUGGAGGCGGGUGGAUCACGAGGUCAAGCGAUCGAGAUCAUCCUGGCCAAUAUGGUGACACCCCGUCUCUACUAAAAAUACAGAAAUUACCCGGGAGUGGUGGCACACGCCUGUAGUCCAAGCUGCUCUGGAGGCUGAGGCAGGAGAAUCGCUUGAACCCGGGAGGCGGAGGUUGCAGCGAGCUGAGAUCGCGCCACUGCACUCCAGCCUGGCGACGACAGAGUGAGACUCCGUCUCAAAAAAACAAAACAAAACAACAACAACAGACACAAAUAAUUUUUUUGACCUGAAAUAACUACUUAUUUUAGUCAAUAUAGGCAAACUAUGAGCAUAUUCAGAUGGAGACUCAGAAUUGGGAGGGUGGGUUUUGAAGGGAGCAUCUACCGCGGAGAUGGAUUCCCACGAAUUUGGAGCUGCACUGUCUCUUUGCAAUGAGGUCCUGUACCUAUGUAUGGGCCUGGGCUUACUUUCAAGAGUGACAUGUUCACAUUACAGAGAAAAGUGUCAUACAAGAAUAAUAUGUGGAAUGAAGAAGAACAAAAAAAGUGUCAAUUCUCACUUAUUUACCAAUCAUGUUAGCCAGAGCAAAAGAAUUUGGCAUACCACACUCCUCCUCUGACCUAGAUUAGAGAUAUACAUCUUAAAAAAAUAAGCGGACAGAAAAUAUAUUGAGAAGGGUUAGUGAUAACACUUUUCUAUUAAAAAAAAAAUCACCUGUGUCAAUCUCCGUGACCAUACAAUGCAAUGGAACUCUCCCAAGAAUCCCAGGCUCAGAGCCCUUUAAAGAGCUCCAGGCAGGUUGGGCGCGGUGGCUCACGCCUGUCAUCCCAGCACUUUGGGAGGCCGAGGCGGGUGGAUCAUGAGGUCACGAGAUCGACACCAUCCUGGCCAACACGGUGAAGCCCCAUCUCUGCUAAAAAUACAAAAAUUAGCGGGGCGUGGUGGUGGGAGCCUGUAGUCCAGCUACUCGGGAGGCUGAGGCAGGAGAAUGGCGUGUACCCAGAAGGCGGAGCUCGCAGUAAGCUGAGAUCGCGCCGCUGCACUCCAGCCCGGGUGACAAAGCGAGACUCUCUCAAAAAAAAAAAAAAAAAAAAAAAAAAAAGCUCCAGGCAGAGACACAAUUCCCAAGCCCUGCUCCAGGUGAGUCACCAAUGUGGAACGAGGAAGUAUCCUAUGGAGAAAUUCAGCCUUCUUAUUAGGAUGGAGAAGCCUACCUGUGGUUUCAACCCCAGCUACCUUUCAGCUUCAGGUCUAACACACAAUUCAAUACCUGCCUCUCAAACUGAAUUUAUCUCUUCUUCUCCCACACACUCUGGGGUUUCCUGCCUUCCCCUACCCUUGCAUUCAAAAUGUUCUCAUCCUUUAAGACUUACCUCAAAUGACUCCUCUUACAGGAAGGGUUCCUCCAUCGAUUCCAGCUAAAUUCGUCAUUCUCUUUUCAACAUUUUCACACUUCACACACUGACUAAGUGUACAGACAUUUCAGGGAAGGAAGGAGGAGGAAAGAAAGUUUUAUCAAAUAUUCAACACUUUUACCAGUACUUAAAAAUAACAUUUAUUGCUUCUUUGUACUAGGUUAGUAAUGCAUAUUUAAUGAAAAUAAAAACGACAGUACUUCUAUGAAUACUUUGGCAAAAAUCCUUCCAUUACUUUUAUUUAUUGUAGGAGAGUGAGUAUGUAUGUGUAGAUACAUAACACUUGAAAAAAAUGAAAUCAUAUAAAUUGUUUUUAAAUGGUUUAUUAUUUAUUUAUAUAUAGACUAUGUAGUUCCACACCUUUAAUCGAAAAUUUCCAAUGGCUACCCAGUAUUUCACUGUAUGGAGAUAACAGUUUAUUUAAUGCCUUAUCCUGGGACAUUUCAGUUUUUUCCAGUUUUUGCUAUUAUAAACAUUCUUAUUGCAAAAGUAUUUUUAUACAUCUAUUCAAAAAUAUUUAUUAGGCACCUUUUUUUCUUAGGCAUAUGUGAUAGUCAUUCCAUUAUUGUUUUUCUCUGGAUAAAUUAAUAGAAUUUUAAAAAUCUGGGUCAAAAUGUAUGAAUACAUUGAAGUAUUGAUUUUUCCAAUAUCCUCUUCAAAUUGAAUAUAUAUUUAUUUUCACACCUUUGCCAAUGUGUUGGGGGAAACCAUUUGCUUUUACUUGAUUUCCAGUGGGAUUUUAUACUUAAAAGUGUGUUUUGGCCAUUUUACUUCUUUUUUAUUCUUCUUUUGUGAAUUAACAGUCCUUAUCCUUUGUAUAUAUAAAAUAUAAGGCCAGGCACAGAGGCUCGGGUCUGUCAUCCCAGCACAUUGGGAGAAUGAGGAUUGCUUGAGCCCAGGAGUUGGAGACUAGCCUGGGCUAGAUGGUAAGAUCUCAGUCUCUGAAAAUAAUUUAAAAAUUUAUUUUAAAUUUAGUCCUAGCUACUGGGGAACUGAAGCAAGAGGAUCCCUUGAGGCCAGAAGUUUGAGGCUAUAGUGAGCUAUGAUCAUGCCACUGCACUGCAACCUGUGGAACAAAGUGAGGCCCCAUCUCUUAAAAAAUAAAUAAAAUAAAAUAACAGAUGCUCAUCUGUCUCUUAUUGAUUUGGAAAACUUUAAAAGUAUUAAACAGACUACUUUGUGAGGCUGAGGCGGGCGGAUCACGAGCUCAGGAGAUUAAGACCAUCCUGGCUAACACAGUGAAACCCCGUUUCUACUAAAAAAUACAAAGAAAUUAGCCGGGCAUGGUGGCAGGCGCCUGUAGUUCCAGCUACUCUGGAGACCGAGGCAGGAGAAUGGCGUGAACCCAGGAGGCAGAGCUUGCAGUGAGCUGAGAUCGCGCCAUUGCACUCCAGCCUGGGGGAAAGAGCAAGACUCCAUCUCAAAAAAAAAAAAAAAAAAAAAAAAAUAGACUACUUGCCUAUCGCUGUAUUGAAAAUAUUACCCUCAAUGUUUUUCUUGUUUGCUUACUUUUUUUGUUAACGAUUUAAAAAAUAACUUUUAUGAAGUCAAAUCUGUCAGUCUUUCCUAUCUUUUGCCUUUAGUGCCACAUAUGAAAAAUUAUUCUAUACACUCCCAGCUCUAUACAUUGAUAUUUUUGAAAAAUUUGUACCUUUAUGAUUGUGGUGAUUUUUCACUGUGUCAGCUUAGCUCCUUGCAAGUACAUUUGACAGAAUUCCAUCCGCUGCAUAGUUCCAAGUUUGCCUGAGCCAGAAGAGACAUUUUGUGUGAGAUUUGGAAGAUGAAAGUAAAGGAGGGAUAUUUGCCUGUAUGCUCAAAAGUUUGGUUCAGGGUCAGCAGGCGCUGUUGCAGCUUAGGCAUGUUGUCAACCACCUGCUACUCCACCUGGUUGGUCCU